rnacentral:rRNA from 1 species
AACGAACGCUGGCGGCAUGCCUAACACAUGCAAGUCGAACGAGACCUUCGGGCCUAGUGGCGCACGGGUGCGUAACGCGUGGGAACCUGCCCUUAGGUUCGGAAUAACUCCCCGAAAGGGGUGCUAAUACCGGAUAAUGUCUUCGGACCAAAGAUUUAUCGCCUUUGGAUGGGCCCGCGUUGGAUUAGCUAGUUGGUAGGGUAAAAGCCUACCAAGGCGACGAUCCAUAGCUGGUCUGAGAGGAUGAUAAGCCACACUGGGAAUGAGACACGGCCCAGACUCCUACGGGAGGCAGCAGUGGGGAAUAUUGGACAAUGGGCGAAAGCCUGAUCCAGCAAUGCCGCGUGAGUGAUGAAGGCCUUAGGGUUGUAAAGCUCUUUUACCCGGGAUGAUAAUGACAGUACCGGGAGAAUAAGCUCCGGCUAACUCCGUG